GGCAACCGAUUGCUUUACCACCUCCCUUUUUGCCACCACAGUCUUUGAUUUUCCAGCUGAGUCUCCUCUGAAAAGAAACCACCUCCUUCUCCUUUGCUUACGAGGUUCCAAAAUUUCCCAAGGAUGAGACGGUCACAUCAACAUCCCUGCUCUGGUCCAGCAAUAGAGACAAGUAAGAGAUGUUCAACACCUCCUGGGAACCCCUCCGAAAGGCCCCCAGAUGUGGAAGUGCCACAGGUCAACUGGUCCUCAGUAUAUUCGCCUGGCAUCCCUUGGGAAGAGAGCCGCGCAGACACCAACACAUCCGUACCCACCCAAAGGAUCUCCUAUUGCUGGAAGAACAGCUGCAAUUUCGGCUGCCUGAUCCUGGCUGCAGGGGCACAUCUCACAGUGCUGAGGUAUAUGGAAAAGUCACCCCAAUAUGUCCUGAAGAUGCCACAGAGUCAGCCCAGCCCAACCCAGGAGCCACACAGCUGCAAUUAGCGCUGCACCCCAGCUAAUUAGUUCUGCUAAAAAUGAGGAAAACUAGCAGGGGCUAAUUACUGCACUAAUUUGAUCUGUGAGCUGGAGCUUGGGUCUGGCUGGUGCAGAGCGGAGCACAGCAGCUUGCAGAGGUCUGUGCAAGCAUCACUUUGUUCAAGAGCUUGGAACAGUCCAGCAAAGUCCCUCUGCAGGUCCAUCCUGCCCUCCUGCAGCAGAGCUGUGUGUGCAGAGCUCUGCAGCCCCGCUCUCUGGAUGCCUGCCCUGGCUGCAGGACGCCCUCGGGAGCAACGUUGUCCUAAAGGAUAAAUCCCAGCAGAUGCCAGGAGCUGCUGCUGGUGGGAUUAGUGGGACGGAAGCGUGGGA
rnacentral:lncRNA from 1 species